CGGGCCAGGGGGCGGAGCCCGGGCGUCAGUCCGCCAACCGCCCUGCUUUUGACUCCACGGUUCAGAAGACUAGGAAGACAGGACGAUUCCCAGGCUCAGGCUGGGCAGGCCAAGUUUCCGGGGCCGUAGGAGGGGAUUCUCCAGGAAAGCAAGGACAGGACCAACGACUGGCUUACUACAGCAAUUGACUGGAAUAUUUCCAUGACCAGUUCAUUGGUACUCUUAGUCAGCAGUUAGGGCAAAGCAAAACUGAAUCGACAAGACGGAAUAUUCAAAAGAAGAUUCUCUUUGAAGUCCUAAUAAAAUAUUACCAACAGAGAUCCUGCCUGUUAACUGAUGGAUAUAAUGACAUUCAUUUAGGAAUUAUUGAACUUCUAGAAAAUAAUCAGACAACAGAAGCACCAGAAGCAACACAACCGUACCUAAAGAUCGCCGUUGCAACAAUCGAGAAGAAUCAUGACGGCUCUUAAUUUUAUGACUAUUGCAUCAGAUUCUGACACCUUGUGAUACCAGAACAGUGGUCCUGGGAACUCUUGCCAAAGCAGAACUUGUAAGCCAAAUGGUUAUUAAAAGCGCAGGCCGAGCAGCUGGUCUGGCUUCGGCUGGAGUACCACUCUGAGCUUUUCAGUGUAUCUCAGUGUUUUCCCUGGGCACAUUUACUGCUAAACUAUUGUGUUAAGCAAAAAGGCAAAUCAUUUACUUAAUUUACUAAGUACUUAUAAUGUGCAAAGCUUUAAAGAAUGAAUAAUGUCUCCUCGUGGCCAUAAAGAGAAGAAAGCAGACUUAAAGCAAUCUUGGUAUUUAUAAGUAUAUUGAUUAAUGCAUUCAAUCAACUUAUUAUGCAUGGCUAAGCAUUGUUCUACUGGCUUAGACUAUAAUCUAUCAGUGAAGAAAAUGCAAUGAUCCAAGCCCUCAGGGAAUUUAUACCUAAAAGCAGAGAGGCAGAUAAUAAAGAUAGAACAUCAAAUCCAAUAGUAUGGUAAAAAGUGAUAAAUGCCAUAGAACAAAGGGAAAGAGCUAUUUACAAGGGAUGAUGGGGAAGAGGUAGCCAGGGGCUUACAGUUUAACUAGUGUGACCAAGGUUGAGCCCAAGAAGGAACAAAGUCUGAGCAGCUACUGGAAGGGGAGUGAGUCCACCAAGCUGCUGGGAGUCGGGGGUUAGGAUGAGAGAAUCGCUUCCAGAAUAGAUGUCCUCAGUGUGAUGUGUGCGUGGAUACUGAAAACGGCAAGUAGUGAAAAGCAGAACGGAUGGGAUGAGAUGAGAAAGAUGCCAGUGGGUACCCCAGGUCCAGUGAGGUCAUCACAGGAGAAUGGCUGGACAGUUUGAGCCACACAGUGCCUGACUUGAUUGGCAUUUGUGAAGACAGAGGGUAGAUGAUAGAGAAGGGAUAAGAGCAAGCACACAUUUUAGGAGGCAUUGAAAUGAUACGGGCAGGAGGUGUAAAUGAAUCUGCCUCUUCGUGUACAUGACAUGGCUGCUUUGAAGGGCAUGGCUAUUGGUUUGGUCCUUUUGUUCUUUUUCCUACUGUUCCUUCCAUCACAAGUGACAGUAUUUUAAAGAAACAUAUUGGUUUACUUUUUGUAGUACGCCAUUAUGAGAGACAGGGCACUUGGUGUGAGCUAGAGGAAGCUGGGGUGUAGGACCCAGGAAGCAGGGUUCCUAGAGAUUAGACUAAGGAGGUAUUUCGGGAGCCUGAGUCGGGAGUCUUUAUACUCGGGUGCACGCCUGCUCCUGUGAGAGGAUAUCUUAUUCAUGGUUUCUACCGUCCAGAGCUGUGUUCUUGCAGACAUACCCAGGACCCACUUCUUCACCAUUGUCUGGACCCCAGCUCCAAUGCUUCCCUUCAGAAAGGCGAAAGCUUCCUUUACUGGCCAAUGCAGCUGCCUUCUUUGCCCCAACCUCUGUCCUGCUUUAUGUUUUCUUUUUACACAGAAAUCCACACCUAAAAUGAUGUAUCUGCCGAUGUAUUUUUCAUUGUCCUUCUGUCCUCUGAGAUAUAAUUUCAUUCAUAAUGAUAUUAAUAAUAAUUAAUAGUAUAUAAUAUAAUUAAUAACAAUAAGCAUAUUUACCACCUAGAACAGGACCUUGCACAACACAAUCACUCGGGUUUUAUGAUUAAGUGUACGGCUGCAAGGCUGAGAAGCGCCUUAGCACAUGUGAGGCCCUGGACAUGAUCCCGGGAACACAAUUUUAAAAAGAAAGGGGAAAAUAAAGUCUAAAGUACACGGGAAAGGCAGCCUGAGAUUGGGGUGAAGGCGCUGUCUGGACAUGAGCUGGCCCUGGUGACUAAGAAGGGGUGGCCUCUGUGACCAUGGGAGCAGAGGAGGUAUAGCUCCCAGGCUAGCGCUGCUCCCUUGAAUUACCUUUGGUACGACUGAAAUUGGAAAAGGAGUGUUGACCCAACUAAGAAAAAUGUUUCAGCGUGUGUUAGAGCCACCAUGGACAAACAGACCAUCUGAUGAUGACUUAAAGCUCUACAGGCAAAGAGCAUCAUCAAAGUAUACGUAAACUCUAUUAUUCCAGACGAGCAUUUCUCUAACAAUUCAUUAGCCUAAGUUCAAAUAGAGCACAUGGCCGGGAGGCAGUGGCACAGCACUUUAAACCCUGAGCCAGGCAGAUCUUUGUGAGUUCGAGGCCAGCCUGGUCUAAAAAAGAAAAAAAAAAAAAAAAGAGUAGAUGGAUAAAGGAAAUUGAGUUUAAGAAUAUUAAAAAUAUCUCCUACUCUUUAUAUUACCAUGCCUUCUACCCCUCUCAUCUGUAAUCUUCCUCUACCAUUUAGCCAAAGAUAGAUGUAUUCUUUCCUAUGUUGAAUUCAUGACAAAAAAACUCAUAUUAAGUAUUUGAGAAUCCCUGUUUUUAUGUAGUCACAAGUUACCUUAUUGGAUGUGGUUAGUAUGAAAAUUAAGAAGUUUCACCAGGCA